AGAAGCAAAGUGACAGGUGGUGCAUGGUUGUCGUCAGCUCGUGUCGUGAGAUGUUGGGUUAAGUCCCGCAACGAGCGCAACCCUUGAUCUUAGUUGCCAUCAUUAAGUUGGGCACUCUAAGGUGACUGCCGGUGACAAACCGGAGGAAGGUGGGGAUGACGUCAAAUCAUCAUGCCCCUUAUGACCUGGGCUACACACGUGCUACAAUGGACGGUACAAAGAGCUGCAAGACCGCGAGGUGGAGCUAAUCUCAUAAAACCGUUCUCAGUUCGGAUUGUAGGCUGCAACUCGCCUACAUGAAGCUGGAAUCGCUAGUAAUCGCGGAUCACCAUGCCGCGGUGAAUACGUUCCCGGGUCUUGUACACAC
rnacentral:rRNA from 1 species